rnacentral:lncRNA from 1 species
UAAUAGCUAACAUUUAACCUUUGUAGACCACGUAAUUACUCGACGAAGGGUGUUCAUCUGACCACCCUUCGUUUAAGGUGGCUCCGCCCAUGCUGCAGCUGCCUACCUGAUUUUCUUGAUUGUGGUUGUUGCUUUGAUGGAAAAUGGAGUAAAAAUGAAUUUUAAUGUUGGAAGAAUAGAGUAAGAAGAAGACACAAAAAUGAUUUUUUAAAAAAAUAAAUAAAUGAUUGUAGCCAUUAAUGGAGUGAAUUUUAAAAUGGUUGUAGCCAAUAAUACACUGAAUAAUUUAUUUUGGAAGUGUAUAUGGCUGUAGCCAUUAAAAGUGAAUUUUAAGGAGUAAAAAAAUAAAUUAUUAUUAUUGCUUAUUGUAUAUGAGUGUGCGUUGAAUUGAUAUUCUUUUUCUUGGUUGUAGCCAUUAAUGGAGAAGAAGAAGACAUGGAAAAGAAGAUGAAGAUGGUGACUAUUUCCUUUUUUUUUUCAAUUUAUUUUAUGUGUCUUUUUUUUAUUGGUUGGCUUUUUUUUAUAUUUAAUCUUUUUGAUUAAUUAUGGCUUCUCACUCUCCAUUUGGCGAGUGUGUUACACACGUCAUGCCACGUUAGUACCACAUCAGCGAUUGUGUUCAAUUGACACAUUUUGUGCAAGAGUAAAGGAUUCAAUAAGUAUAUGACUUAAUUGAGGUGUUUAUAAAAAAAAAAAAAAGUCGAAUAGUUCAGCAACUUUAUAUGUAUUCAACCUAUAAUCUUCUUAUAACAUGAGUGUCAAUAGAUAAUAUUAUAUCAAUUAUAUAUAUGUAUGUAUGUAUGAGAGUUGUUUCCAGAAUUUCUAUGAACCCGCGUGCUUAUAUCACUUAAAAAAAAUAGGAAAAGAAUUUGUUAAGUGCGAAGUGAUCCCUAGUCUUCUCGGUAAAAAGAAAUAUAUAUAUAAAAUAACUAAGUUUAUUGUGCAAAUUUUCUUCCCAGUUAUGGUAAGGGUGUGCAAAAUUAAAUAUUUACUCAUAAUAGCUAACAUUUAACCUUUGUAGACCACGUAAUUACUCGACGAAGGGUGUUCAUCUGACCACACUUCCUUCGUUUAAGGUGGUUCCGCCCAUGCUGUCAACUAGUUCUUCUCAUUCAUCCGACUAUGUUCUCAUGGUCCUCGAUCCAGGCAUCCAUCGAGACCAGGAUUAGCCGUCCAGGCAUUCUCCAUGUUCCAUAUGCUGAUGUUGUAUAUUUUAAUGGCCGCUUUUAUUCAAUAGAUUUUCGG